rnacentral:lncRNA from 1 species
AAGAGUGAGUGCGGUGCGGUGUGGUGCGGCGCGGUGAGCUGAGCAGUGGUGCGGCUGCGGCGGAAGAUUGAACGGCGUUACGGCGAGGUGAGGGAGAGAGAUUGAGAGCAGUGAGAGAGGGAUUGAGAGCUGUAACUUCAAGUUUGUGAAUUCCAAGUGGUUUCAGAAUUCCAAGUUUGUGAGAAGCUGUAACUUCGCCGUGCUUUUGUUCGCCGUUAGUUUCCUUGUCGGCCCAUGAUAAAAAGGCCAGUAUUUAUUAUAAGCCCAAUCCUC